AUACUUACCUGGCAAGGGAGAUACCGUGAUCAAGAAGGCGGUUCACCCAGGGCGAGGCUCAGCCAUUGCACUCCGGCUGUGCUGACCCCUGCGAAUUUCCCAAAUGUGGAAAUCUCGAUUGCAUAAUUUAUGGUAGUGGGGGACUGCGUUCGCGAUCUCCCCUG
rnacentral:snRNA from 8 species